GUAUUUCCCAUAGCCAUCUUAAACUAACAGUUUCUGAAGUCAGACAUCUGUUCCCAUCCAAAAUCCUCCCUGCUCCUUCCAGCAAGGUAAACAGAAUCUUUAUCCCCUUGCCUUGAGCUUCAAAUGCACUUCCUCUUUAUUGUCCCAUGCCUCAGAUGGCCAAAAAUCUGCCAACAGACCCUGACUUUCCUUAACUCUGCCUGGCAGACAGACUCUUUUCCUUUCUUCCCCCUCUGCUUCAGAGAAGAGGCAAACGGCUCCUGACAGAGAAGUAAAAAAGAAAGUUCACUCCAUACAGAUAGGACAUCAGCAGUGGAAGGAACUAUUCCAUCCAGGGCUGUCUUGGUGAGCCAAUGCCUUCACUGGCGUCAUUCUAUAGGAUCACUGCAGACGGGUUAUUUACAGGAACAUGAGUGAGGUGCACAGGAGUACAGGCGAGGGGUUACUCGUGGGAGCAUAGAUGAGGGGUUACAGGACCUUGGGUUUAAAGUAGCCACAUCACUGACAAGCCCCACCCAGAGUGGUAACGAUUCAUGGUAUCCUGACUUCUGACCAACUUCCUACUUCCUGUGACUUAUGUAGCAGGAGGGUUGGGGUUAGGACAGGACACAGUAAAUAAGGGCUCAGAUAAGAGUCAGAUAACAUCAUCUUUGGGCAUUAACAGCACCAUUAUCUCAGUCAAAGACCUAUCACUGCAUUGUUUUCCUGUUUGGUUGCCAUGACUGCAGGACCAAAGUAUUCUGUUGGUCACCAUAGCAAUAUGCUAAGUUAGACAAAGGUAGCUUCACUUCAAUAGCUUCUAUUCAACCUCAGUCUGUAUUUUCUCUUGCCACAUAACAUAGCUCUGGAUGGCUGUCCCAGGCUCACAGUGACAGCACACAUACAUCUCUCUACCAUGAUGAUUUGUUAAUCAAGAGGCAUCAUGGAAAUGGGAAAUCCAGAGGAGACUCCAACAUGGUUGUCCUACUGAGUGACAAGGCAAGACUUUAGAGCUUCCACAGCCGUGUGUCUCCAAUACAAGCCUGCUAACAAAAGGAGCUGACACUCUGAAAUGUAGACUUGGAGAGCUCGAGUGAAUUUUCAGGAAGUGUGUGGGAAAGUCCAAUCCCAAAUGGAACCCAAAGGACAGAUCACCAGGCGCUAGGCAAGCUACCACAAGUGGGCAGCUACAACAGCUGGGGUGGGGCACCCUGGAGAUGUGGGCUGUGCUGGGCCUUCAUGCGCCUUCUUUCUGCCCUGUGUCUCAGUCCCUUGAGUUGGAGUGUUCUUUCCCUUCCCCAGAUUCCUGUGCUUUAUGUCUGUGUCUGCUUCUCUUUCUGUCCCACUGAGCUUCACGUACCCUGAAUUUUGA
rnacentral:sRNA from 1 species